rnacentral:rRNA from 1 species
AUUGAACGCUGGCGGCAUGCUUUACACAUGCAAGUCGAACGGCAGCGCGGGGGCAACCCUGGCGGCGAGUGGCGAACGGGUGAGUAAUGCAUCGGAACGUAUCCUGUAAUGGGGGAUAACGUAGCGAAAGUUACGCUAAUACCGCAUACGCUCGAGAGAGGAAAGUGGGGGAUCGCAAGACCUCACGUUAUAGGAGCGGCCGAUGUCCGAUUAGCUAGUUGGUGGGGUAAAGGCCUACCAAGGCGACGAUCGGUAGCUGGUCUGAGAGGAUGAUCAGCCACACUGGGACUGAGACACGGCCCAGACUCCUACGGGAGGCAGCAGUGGGGAAUUUUGGACAAUGGGCGAAAGCCUGAUCCAGCCAUGCCGCGUGCGGGAAGAAGGCCUUCGGGUUGUAAACCGCUUUAGUCCGGGAAAAAGGGGUGCGAGGAUAAUACCCUCGUGCUUUGAUGGUACUGGAAGAAUAAGCACCGGCUAACUACGUG